UGAGCAAUUCCAUCAGUGCAACAGCAGACUGGGCAUUGCAUCUGAAAUUAAUUUGGCACCUCACAAAGCUAGAGAAGAGAGUCAAUUCUAUGUGGUAAAGGAACAAUUGCAAUCAAUGGUUAAAAGCCACUUGAAAAGCUUGUCUCAGGACAUUGAAUUAGGCCCUGAUACUUUCAAGGAAAUUGCAAGGAGUUCUACGCAUACCAUCUUAGCUGGUUGUGGUCUUGAGCACAAGAGGAGUGAAGUCCAAUUUAUGCCCCCACCAUCAAUUUGCACCCAUGGUGAGAGGAUGGCUGCUGGACAGACAAGUAUGAUGAAAGGUUUUUGCUCAUCUUGUUUUGAUUCUUUUGUAAGGGACGUAGUGAAGAGGAUCAUGGACACAAGACUGCCACAGUGGUUAAGUUUAGGUCUUUAAUCUUUGACGAAGGAGUGUUUUUUUGGCGCUCUCUUUUUCGUUAGGAGUUUAGGCAAACAUUUAUCGUUAAUUUGUUUAUAGAUAUCAUAUAAUUUACUGACCUCGAGCAUUGAAGGGCUCUAUUCUUAUUUGACAC
rnacentral:misc_RNA from 1 species